rnacentral:lncRNA from 1 species
UUUUCCUUUUCCUGAAUGUCACAUAAUUGGAAUUAUAAUAUGCAACAUUUUUUGGAUUGGCUUCUUUCACUUAAUAACAUGCGCUUACAUUUCCUCCAUAUCUUUGCAUAGCUUGGUAUUGCAUUGUACUCUGGCUGUACCACAGUUUAUUCACUUGCCUGUAGAUGAUAACAUAAAUUUUAAGGUAAAUUACAAACAAAACUGUUCAGUAUGUCGACUAUGGUAGUGGACACAGGAACCUACACAGGUAUAGAAUUGUAUAAACUUAAUUCCUACACACACACACACACACCCCCCCACACACAGAUGAAUACAAGUCAUAAUGAGGAAACCUAAGUAUGAUCAAUGAACCGUAUCAAUGCCAAUAUCCUGAGAUAUCACGGUACAGUUUUGCAAAAUGUUACCAUGGGGAUUUGGGCAAAAACAUACAAAGGAUCCCUCUGUGUCAUUUCUUACAGCUGUAUGUGAAUCUAUAAUUAUCUCGGUAAAAUUUCAAUUAAAAGAAGAAUUAUAAAAAUACUUCGUUUAAUGAUAUCAAUACUGAAGUGUGCAGGGUGAAGUAUUCUUAGUAUAUGCACAAUGGGUGAUUGAUGGAUGGUGAGAGGGAUGUUUAGAUGGAUAGACGUGAUAAAGCACAGAUCAUAAAAUUAAUCACAGAAACUAGGUGGUGGGUGUUCACUGUGUAAUUCUUUAAACUUCUCUGUAUGCUUGAAAUUCUUCAUAAUAAAAUGUCAGAGGAAAAAAGCUGGAAAAUUACUUGCUUUGGUAUAACUUU